rfam:Oryctes borbonicus contig18968, whole genome shotgun sequence.
CAUACGGCCCUUUUCAGGGCCACAAAUGGCGGUAGAAAAGUGAAA